GAUGAACGCUCGCUACAGGCUUAACACAUGCAAGUCGAGGGGAAACGGCAUUGAGUGCUUGCACUCUUUGGACGUCGACCGGCGCACGGGUGAGUAACGCGUAUCCAACCUUCCCAUUACUUUGGGAUAACCUGCCGAAAGGCAGACUAAUACCGCAUAGUCUUCGAUUACGGCAUCAGAUUUGAAGUAAAGAUUUAUCGGUAAUGGAUGGGGAUGCGUCUGAUUAGCUUGUUGGCGGGGUAACGGCCCACCAAGGCUACGAUCAGUAGGGGUUCUGAGAGGAAGGUCCCCCACAUUGGAACUGAGACACGGUCCAAACUCCUACGGGAGGCAGCAGUGAGGAAUAUUGGUCAAUGGACGGAAGUCUGAACCAGCCAAGUAGCGGGCAGGAUGACGGCCCUAUGGGUUGUAAACUGCUUUUGUAUGGGGAUAAAGUUAGGGACGUGUCACUAUUUGCAGGUACCAUACGAAUAAGGACCGGCUAAUUCCGUG
rnacentral:rRNA from 1 species